UACGUAGGGUGCAAGCGUUGUUCGGAAUCACUGGGCGUAAAGCGUGUGUAGGUGGUAAACCAAGUCUGGUGUGAAAUCCUCUGGCCUAACCAGAGAACUGCAUCAGAAACUGGCUUGCUAGAGUACGGUAGAGGAAAGUGGAGUUCCUGGAGUAGCGGUGAAAUGCGUAGAUAUCAGGAAGAAUACCAGUGGCGAAGGCGACUUUCUGGGCCGAAACUGACACUGAGACACGACAGCGUGGGGAGCAAACAGG
rnacentral:misc_RNA from 1 species